UGAUCUUGAAUAAAGGUAUGAUGACCAUAACAAGUUGUAUCUUCGGUGAAAAUUUUAAUGUUUUUCUGUUAUAUAAAGCUCUUUACCUUGACAUACCUGAUUGAAAUAAAGUAAAUAGAAACUAUGGAAUUUUGAAUCUCAGAAAUUAUAAUUCCUCACAGAAAAAACUG